CCUACGGGUGGCUGCAGUAGGGAAUCUUCCACAAUGGGCGAAAGCCUGAUGGAGCAACGCCGCGUGGGUGAAGAAGGUCUUCGGAUCGUAAAACCCUGUUGUUAGAGAAGAAAGUGCGUGAGAGUAACUGUUCACGUUUCGACGGUAUCUAACCAGACAGCCACGGAUAAUUACGUGCCAGCAGCCGCGGUAAUACGUAGGUGGCAAGCGUUAUCCGGAUUUAUUGGGCGUAAGGGGAACGCAGGCGGUAUUUUAAGUCUGAUGUGAAAGCCUUCGGCUUAACCGGGGUAGUGCAUUGGAAACUGGGAGGCUUGAGUGCGCAGGAGGAGGGUGGAACUCGAGGUGUAGCGGUGAAAUGCUUAGAUAUAUGGAAGAACACCAGUGGCGAAAGUAGCUCUCUGCUCUGUAACUGACGCUGAGGUUCGAAAGCGUGGGUAGCGAACAGGAUUAGAUACCCGAGUAGUC
rnacentral:rRNA from 1 species